AAGAGUAGACUUAAGCACUAAGGUUGUUUGAAGGAAUAAAAAGAGUUGGACAGGGAAAAUGAAUCAGAAGGCUCUCUGGGUGAAAAGUAUUCAACUUCAACAACCCCCACUUUCUCAAAGCUAAGAGAAAGAGAAAAAAGUAGCAGGGGGAAAUCACUAAAAGAGAUGCAAAAAUUGAGAACCAGAGGGUCUGACAGACUUGCCUUAAUGUGACAUGCUGUGUGUAAGUCAGCUUUAAAUCAAGUUCCUCCCAAGCACUUGGGUGCACAAAGCUGAAAACAGAUUGGUUUUGAUCACACUGGAGGAUGCAGUAUGCAUGCAGAGGAUGCACAGGAGAAAGUCUGCACAAACAUAUGAAGGAGAGGAUGGAGAUGCCCUGAGCUACCCAGGAGAGCUUGUGGAUAGCUCCUCCUCGUAAAGAUGGGGGAGAUGUAGGAAAAGACUCGUGGGGUCCUUCCAGACCGAGAUGGAAGAUUAAAAGGAGAAAGCCAGUUUUCCCCAAGCCCUCAACACCUCCCUGGUCCAGACUCUUUGUCGGAGAAAGGAGGGGAUGUGGUCAGGGAAGAUGGAAGACACAGACCAUACACAGAUUUUCUGUUCCAGCAAAGAGGGGGGAGGGAACCCCACAGCUUCAGCCCUAAAGCCAGAAUGGAACCAAUGGAGAAAAAGGAGGACACCAAGGUCUUGGCUAACCAGCCAGUUUGUUAGUCUAGAAUGUGGGUAACCAUCUGGUCUAUCAACCCCUGGAAUGGGGAGAAAAAUCAGUGGCUUUUCCCAUUCACCAAUGGGAUGAAGUGGCCAGAUUUUUCCUCUUUAAUGAACUGAUUCCCUCCUUUAACUCCAAGUUAGUUCUAGGUCUCUUGAGAUCAAGAUGGAACACACACACACACACACACACACACACACACACACACACACACAGUACUUAGUAGCAUGGAAUUGAUGGAAUUGACCUCCUUUUCUCCAGGAUGGGUCCAUGGGAAUUUCAAUUGAAAGCAUCUUCUAGUUAGUGAAACUAAUGGGCAUUUAUCUGGGCUCUCCUGUAUUCUCAAGGAAAUCAGAGGCCAGGGCCAGGGCAGGGAAGUAUGGCAAAUCCAUCCGGUGCAGAACAUGUUUCCCAAUUUAAUAUCCCAGCUGCCCUCACCUAGAGGAGCACCCAUUUCCAGCAAUUCAACCCCUCACUACUCCUCUAUACAAGCUGCCUCUUCCCUCUGGAAACCAGAACCUCACAAUUUCAAAAAAGCAAUUCAAAGUACUGGUAGCAGUUAGAUAGGAGUGAACCAAUCCCCUUCCUCCCCUGGGUCUUUCCCAAUAGUCUCUCUUUGAUUUAAAAAUGGUCCUUAUGCGGAGGAGAAAAUGACUACAGAGUUCGAUGUAGUAGCAACAUUCAUAGAGUGCUGGAUUUGGAGUUAAGAAUCCCAUCUCUGAUGCUUUUCCAGUUCUGUUAUCACAAGCAAAUAAUUGAAUCUCUCAGCCUCAGUUUUCCCUAUCUGCAAAAUGGGGAUAAUAGUGCCUAUUGCUCAGCACAAAACCCACCUCACAGGUUUGUUAUUAGACAAAGGAGAUAACAUAUAUAAAACACAUCACAGGCCUUAAAAUGCCAUAUAAGCAUCACUUAUUGUUCAAUAGUUGUUGGACUGUAGAGAUGGCCACAGGAUAAAGUAUGGACUUUGGGGAGAGGUGGCAUCAAGAAUGGGAGGCAAGGAAGACAGAAUUUAAAAAUUCAAGGAGCUGAUCCAGGAAAGAGGGCAGGUGAUCAGGAUCUUGAUAGUCCAAUUGGGACAAUAAGAAGAUAAAUAUCUGAAGGGCUGUGAGAUCAUGCUAUGAUAAAAGGAUCUUUUGGGCUAAGCAUGAUCGUGCAUGCCUGUAGUCCCUGCAGCUGGGGAGGGUAAGGCUGGUAUAUCUCUUGCACUCAGAAGCUCUGAGGUAUAGUAGAGCUAAAGCCCAUUGGAUGUUCCCACUAAAUCCAGCACCAACAUGGUGAGAGUCUCCAAGAGUAGAGGCUUUCUAUAUUGCCUAAGGAGGGGCAAAGCAGCCCAGAUGGGAAAAGCAGAGCUGGUUACAGCUUCAGCGCUGGUCGAUAUUGGGGAUUGGCCCAUGAGAGACUGCUUGGGUACAGAUAGCCUGAAGAGAAGACUUGGAGAUGAUAGAUGUCUUCAAGCAUUGAAGAACUGUCUUAUAGAAAGAUUAGACUUCUGCUGUUCUGUCCCAGAGUACAGAACAAAGGAUAUAAGGAUAUAGGAGUGGUGGAGAGCUGAAUUCAGGCUUAAGUUAAGGUUAUCCCAAAGCAGAAUGGACUGCCUUGGACUUGGGCAUCAUGGGAGGGCUUUGGGCAAAUGGAUGGAUGGCCUCCUGUCAAGGAGGUUGAAGGGGGAAUUCUUGUUCUAGUAUGGAUUGAAUUAGAUGGCCUCCAAGGCCCCUUCCAAUUCUAGGAUUCUGUGAUGCACUCCAGAGUUCUUCCCCAGAACAGAUACAGGCGAGAUAGAUCAUUCUUAGAUCUACUUCAACCAAAGUGAUAGUUAAUCAUGUUUCCAACAAGCUAUCUGGCCAGACUCAGGCCCUAAUCUCCCGUCUAGACACUGCUUCUCCAGCCGAGUCCUGGAGUCCUGGCACUGACUCCAGGACAACUUUACUUAUCUAAACGCAACCAUUAAUGAGCCUGAUUAGUGGCGCCCCAUGCCAGGCUGUUAAUGGGCCAGGGACAUUAAGCAUAAAUGCUUUUUCAGAUGUCUGGAUGAGCAGAGUGCAAAGAAGAAGCAAAUAUUUUAAUAGCAAGGAAUGAGAAUGAAGGUCUGAAGAAAACAACUAUUUGGGGGUACAAUGUUUCUUGCUUCAAAUUUCAGUCCUAAUUUACUUCAGUUGCUAUUACCUUAGCCCAGAUCUAGCUGUCACCUGCGGCAUGGGCUACUCUGAUUGGUGGAGCUCCUCUGAAGGUCAUUCUAUUCAUGCAGACUCUAGGGAGGGCAGCCCCUCGCCUGGCCCAUACAAAAUCUAGGAAAGGAUUGGGGACUGGAAGGAGGAAUCCCACACUUCUCAAAGAGAUGUCAAGAGGAGGAGAUUUCUAAGUCUAUUGGCCGAAAUGCUAACUCUGGGAGUCAAAUAUUUCUUGGUAUCCAAUCUGAAUAUUACAAGUUGCAACUUGAGCCUCUCCUUUCCUUUAUUUAGGGGAUGGAGGAAGGAGGUCAAAAUAAAUGGGAAUAAAGACAACUCAGGCACAUGGGGAAGAGGGGUAGGUUAGGAGACAAAAGAGGGAAGAGGGUGAGAAACUGGGAGAAAAGGGGGGAAAUUUUUCUGUAGAAGGGAAGUUAGCCCCAGUAGCUACAGAGGUGGCCUUGGCAUCUCUUUCCUUAUAAAUAUCAGGGCAGUAUCUAAGUAGCCCAGCAGAGAAUAGACUAGGGAAAAAUCACUGUGACCUUUUCCAUUUUGCCCACAGCAGGAGAGGAUAAUAGAGCCAUCCUUUAGGUAAUUUAUUUCUGCUACUGCUCAAAUAGUCCAACCCUGGCCCACACAAUCCUCACUUCUAAAGUCACCAUCAUCUAUUUAUUCUCCACCUCAGUCUCAUCUCUUCCUCCUUUUCCUGUUUCUCCCAGUAAAGUGAAUAGUCUGGUCCAGAUCCCUUUAUCAAUCAAUCAGUUGGUCAGCCAAUCAACAAGCAUUUCUUUUCUUUCUUAGAAUCUAAGGCAGAAGAGCAGUAGGGGCUAGGUAACUGGGAUUAAGUGACUUGCUCAGGGUGAGCUCAUAUUUGAACUCAGAUCCUCCUGACUCCACGCAUGGUUCUCUAUCCACUGAGCCAUCCAGCUGCUCCCAACAAGCAUUUAUUAAGCAUUUACUAUGUGCCAAGCACUAUAGUAAGCACAAGAUAAACAAAUGAAACAAAUGCUUUCAAGAUCACAUCCUUUUUUUUUUAACCCUUACUCUCUGUUUUAAUAACAGCUCUAAGAUAGAAGGACAAGGGCUAGAUAAAUGGGGUUAAGCGACUUGCCCAGGGUCACACUGCUAAAAAGUGUCUGAGGCCAGAUUU